CCUUUCUUCAGUAACCAGGGGAUCCAAAUAAACUUUGGAGAAAAUAUGCUUUCUUUCCCCUCUCCAAUAGAAAUGGAAAUUUAUGUAGGAAUGCCAGCUCCAGCACGUCUCCUUAGCAACGUGAAUCUUUUGCCCCUUUCUCUCUGUCUCCUGAAAUAAUAGCCCCCUGAUUGCAUAAAGACUUUUCAGAUAGGUAGGAGAAUCAAGCUUCAACUCCCAUUUUCUUUUCAGGCCCGGUUCUUUAAAACAACUGCUUGAUUUUAAGUUGAAAAACACUUCCAAAAGUCUGUGGAAGCCAGCCAUAUACAUUUAUUUAUCAAGAGACUGAUUUUCCUAUCAACUUAUUACUGCAUUCUGGGGGACUUCCCUGGUGACACAGUGGUUAAGAAUCUGCCUGCCUAUGCGGGGGACACAGGUUCGCUCCCUGGUCCAGGAAGAUCCCACAUGCUGAGGAGCAACUAAGCCCGUGCACCACAAUUACUGAGCCUGCGUGCCACAACUACUGAAGCCCAUGCGCCCUAGAGCCCACAUGCCACAACUACUGAGCCCGUGUGCUGCAACUACUGAAGCCUGCGUGCCUAGAGCCUGUGCUCCACAACAAGAGAAGCCACCACAAUGAGAAGCCCGCACACUGCAAUGAAGAGUAGCCCCCGCUCGCUGCAACUAGAGAAAGCCCACAUGCAGCAAUGGAUUCCCAACACAGCCAAAAAAUAAAUAAAGAUUAAA